GGAAUAUUGCACAAUGGGGGAAACCCUGAUGCAGCGACGCCGCGUGAGUGAAGAAGUAUUUCGGUAUGUAAAGCUCUAUCAGCAGGGAAGAAAAUGACGGUACCUGAGUAAGAAGCCCCGGCUAACUACGUGCCAGCAGCCGCGGUAAUACGUAGGGGGCAAGCGUUAUCCGGAUUUACUGGGUGUAAAGGGAGCGCAGACGGCGCAGCAAGUCUGAAGUGAAAGCCCGGGGCUUAACCCCGGGACUGCUUUGGAAACUGCUGUGCUUGAGUAUCGGAGGGGCAGGCGGAAUUCCCAGUGUAGCGGUGAAAUGCGUAGAUAUUGGGAAGAACACCAGUGGCGAAGGCGGCCUGCUGGACGAUAACUGACGUUGAGGCUCGAAGGCGUGGGGAGCAAACA
rnacentral:rRNA from 1 species